CCUACGGGAGGCAGCAGUAGGGAAUCUUCCACAAUGGGCGCAAGCCUGAUGGAGCAACACCGCGUGAAUGAAGAAGGCUUUCGGCUCGUAAACCUCUGUUGUUAGGGAAGAACGUGCGUGAGUGUAACUGUUCACGCAGUCACGUUAUCCAGCCACAAAGUCACGGCUAACUACGUGCCAGCAGCCGCGGUAAUACGUAGGUGGCAAGCGUUGUCCGGAUGUAUUGUGUGUAAAGCGAGCGCAGACGGUCGCUUAGGUCUGAUGUGAAAUCCUUCGGCUUAACCGAAGAAGUGCAUCGGAAACUGUGGAACUUGAGUACAGAAGAGGACAGCGGAAUUCCAUGUGUAGCGGUGGAAUGCGUAGAUAUAUGGAAGAACACCAGUGGCGAAGGCGGCUGUCUGGUCUGAAACUGACGCGGAGGCUCGAAAGCAUGGGUAGCGAACAGGAUUAGAUACCCCAGUAGUC
rnacentral:rRNA from 1 species